CGGACGGGUGAGUAACACGUGGAUAACCUACCUAUAAGACUGGGAUAACUUCGGGAAACCGGAGCUAAUACCGGAUAAUAUAUUGAACCGCAUGGUUCAAUAGUGAAAGACGGUUUUGCUGUCACUUAUAGAUGGAUCCGCGCCGCAUUAGCUAGUUGGUAAGGUAACGGCUUACCAAGGCAACGAUGCGUAGCCGACCUGAGAGGGUGAUCGGCCACACUGGAACUGAGUCACGGUCCAGACUCCUACGGGAGGCAGCAGAU
rnacentral:rRNA from 1 species